rnacentral:rRNA from 1 species
UGGGGAAUUUUGGACAAUGGGCGCAAGCCUGAUCCAGCAAUGCCGCGUGCAGGAUGAAGGCCUUCGGGUUGUAAACUGCUUUUGUACGGAGCGAAAAGGUCUGCCCUAAUACGGUGGGCUCAUGACGGUACCGUAAGAAUAAGCACCGGCUAACUACGUGCCAGCAGCCGCGGUAAUACGUAGGGUGCGAGCGUUAAUCGGAAUUACUGGGCGUAAAGCGUGCGCAGGCGGUUUUAUAAGACAGAUGUGAAAUCCCCGGGCUCAACCUGGGACCUGCAUUUGUGACUGUAUAGCUAGAGUACGGUAGAGGAGGAUGGAAUUACGCGUGUAGCAGUAAAGUGAGUAGAUAUGCGGCGGAACAGCAAUAGCGAAGGCAAUCCCAUGGAAAUGUACUGACGCUAAUGCACGAAAGCGUGAGGAGCAAACA